rnacentral:rRNA from 1 species
AGGGCACCACCAGGAGUGGAGCCUGCGGCUUAAUUUGACUCAACACGGGAAAACUCACCCGGCCCGGACACUGUAAGGAUUGACAGACUGAGAGCUCUUUCUUAAUUCGGUGGGUGGUGGUGCAUGGCCGUUCUUAGUUGGUGGAGCGAUUUGUCUGGUUAAUUCCGAUAACGAACGAGACUCUGGCCUAUUAAAUAGACGGUGUAUCUUGAAGUAUACCGCGCUUCUUAGAGGGACAAGCGGCGUCUAGCCGCAUGAAAUAGAGCAAUAACAGGUCUGUGAUGCCCUUAGAUGUCCGGGGCUGCACGCGCGCUACACUGAAAGAAUCAGCGUGCGAUUAGCCUGGUUCGGAAGAAUCGGGUAACCCAAGUAAAUUCUUUCGUGCUUGGGAUAGGGAAUUGCAAUUAUUUCCCUUAAACGAGGAAUUCCCAGUAAAUGCGGGUCAUAAGCUCGCGUUGAUUACGUCCCUGCCCUUUGUACACACCGCCCGUCGCUACUACCGAUUGGAUGACUUAGUGA